ACGUGAGAGAUAUGUACGAGUCAGCGAGAUUUGAUCGAGCGAACAGAAUUGUAACGGAUGUCAUCGAAUAAAGACAAGCAAUUACCACACGUGAGUCUUAAGUUCAGUAGACCUUAUUUGUGUGUGCAUCUGAAAGCGAAAAUAAACUACAAAUUCAGGAGUGGAAUCUGAACAUUGGAAAACGGAGCAUAGUUCGAAAACGCGAUAAGAGACAGUGAUAAAUUCAAGAUUAUCGGAGCGGUAAGUAACCUUUCGGGCUGUGUGCGUGACCUCGUCGGACUGCGCGAUCAGAAAGAAAGACAAAUAUCUUCGAUAUCGGGCCUUUCACUAACUGUACACGAGAAAGAAACGGACAGUGCAACUGUUUUGCUCGAGCGUGAAAGAAGAACAGACGGUGUUCAUGUAUUCUUAGUGCAAAAUAAAAAUAUUAUUAACUAAAUAUACUUUAUUCGAAAGAGUUACGCGGCAAGUGUUCGUAUUCGAAUAUAAUAAUGGAUAAAACCUGAAACAGAUGAAACGAUUUUGACAUCCAGUUCAACAAAUUGCAACAAACAACGACUCGUUGCGAUAUCAAAUCAAAGAACAAGAAAAGAAACGGACGAGCUUCUACGACGUAUUUUAGCAUCUUUCGAUGCUAAAGAAAAUAACAUAAAUGCAGUCCAAGCUGCUACGGCCGAUGAGCAAAGUGAAAUGAAUGCGCAAAAGUAAAAUGAAAAGCACAUCAGGCACCGCGAAAGUGCCUUAUUGUUGCGAGAAAGAGAUCUUCUGCAGAAAGAAAACGAGUUAUUGCGGCGCGAAAAUGAUAUGUUAAGAGCAUCUUCACAGAAUAGUACAUCGUCCCGAUUGUCCAUGGCUUCCUUUUCUUCAGUCAAUACGACUAAUACAAACGCUAACCAAGGACGCAUAUUGCUAACUCUAAGAAAUAUAGGUGAUCUUAUUUAAGCGAGUAUACCGGAAACGGAAAUGACUUUGCUAGAUGGAGAGCACGGAUUAAUCUCCUUCAACACAUGUACAAUUUGGAUGAAAAUGCUACCAAAAUUCUUGUGGGAUCUAAGUUGCGAGGAAAGGCUUUUGACUGGUACCAUUCACGGGUCGAGUAUUUGGCAAUGGACCUAGAAGACUUGUUUAAGAAAAUGGAGAUUAUGUUUGAUAGACCAUUAGGACGCGACUAAAUGCACGACGUCAGUUUGAUGCAAGAAAGUAGCAACGAGGAAAUCAUUUAGUUAUUAUUGCCCUAGCAAAAUUAUUUUAGGCAAUUGUAUUCCAAUCGCUAAUGAAGAAAUAGUGGAGUACCUGAUUGACGGAAUUUCUUCAGAGAUUUUGCAAAAUCAAGCGCGGAUGCAUUCCUUCGAAUUAUCCUAAAAUUGUUGAAAGCCUUUUAGAAUAUUAAAUUGUCGUCAUUGUCGCAAAGAUUUUUACGACGCAAGAUCGCAAUAAAUCCAGACGCUAAGUACAAGAAUUGCCACUGCAAACUGAAUCCACCGCAGUUGAGGAAAAAAGAAACUGCGGAUGCUUUAAAGUCGACAAUCAGAAGAGUCGUCAAAUGCUAUAAAUGCGAAAGAAUCGGCCACUACGCGAGGGACUGCCAAUCGAAAACAAAGAAACAGGACAGAAUUGCCAAAGGGAAGGAGAGGCGCGCUGAGCGGCAAAUCGGACUGGUGGAGGACACGAGUGAGCAGUCAGAGGAUGAAGCGUCAGAGGAAGAUUAUUUGAAGGAGAAUUAACAAGAUUGUAACAAAAUUUAUUGUAUAUACGUAUAUAUAUGCGAUGAUCACGACGAGUUUUGAAAGAUAGGUGCUAUAAAUAUUCAGGGUGACAAGUGGUUUUUCUGUCUGAUAGAGAUGCGCACGAGACGAGAUAAAUCUCGAUCUCGUCUCGAUCUCGUCUCGAAAUCGAGACGAGAUUCGAGAUCGAGAUUACUUAUAAUAUUCGAGAUCAAUAUCGAGAUUCACCACAUCAAGAUCAAGAUUAUUGAAAAUUCUCGUCAAGAUCUCAUUGAGAUCUCGACAAAAUAUUUUAUUAUUUCACCGAUCUGACGACACUAUAUGACGCUGUGGCUGCUGCACACAUAAACCACGCAACGCCACAGACAUGAAGGAUUAUUGGUAUAGACAUUACAAAUGUUUCAUUUUUACCCUGCGUAGUUCCAUAGUGAAAAUACGCAAGAAGUUAUGACUCCUGUACAGCGCGAUGUCCGUCGCAUACGAUAC